rnacentral:lncRNA from 1 species
CUAAAUUAAGGACCGUUUUGCACUUUGCCCCCCAAACAAAAAAAAGUUGCACGUUUUUACCUGAACUCGUUAUUUUAUUGCACGGUGCCUCUAAAGUGGAAUUUUCAGGCGAUUUUAGCCGGAAUAUUAAACACGUGCUCUGCACGUGAGAUUUAAAGGGAUAAAUUCGUCAAUUCACUUAUAUUAUAUAUUAAAUAUUAAUUAAUCGCUAAAAAAGAAAAAGAAAAAAACCCACCAUAUAUCCUCUUCUCCCCCCUCUCUGUUUCUCUCUCUACUCGUCUCCAUCACCACCCCAUUCUCACAUUUCC